rnacentral:rRNA from 1 species
CUACGGGGGGCUGCAGUCACGAAUCAUCGGCAAUGCGCGCAAGCGUGACCGUGCGACGCCGCGUGGGCGAUGAAGGCCUUCGGGUUGUAAAGCCCUGUCAGGGGUGAGGAAAGGUGCGGGUCCACUCGCACUUGACGUUAGCCCCAAAGGAAGUCACGGCUAACUCCGUGCCAGCAGCCGCGGUAAGACGGAGGUGGCAAACGUUGCUCGGAAUCACUGGGCUUAAAGGGCGUGUAGGCGGCUUCUUAAGUCGGAUGUGAAAGACCUCGGCUCAACCGAGGAACUGCACUCGAUACUGAGAGGCUAGAGUGCGAGAGGGGCAAGUGGAACUCCAGGUGUAGCGGUGAAAUGCGUAGAUAUCUGGAGGAACGCCGGUGGCGAAAGCGACUUGCUGGCUCGCAACUGACGCUGAGGCGCGAAAGCCAGGGGAGCGAACGGGAUUAGAUACCCCAGUAGUC